rnacentral:rRNA from 1 species
AAUGAACGCUGGCGGCAGGCCUAACACAUGCAAGUCGAACGGAUCCUUCGGGAUUAGUGGCGGACGGGUGAGUAACGCGUGGGAACAUACCCAAAGGUACGGAAUAGCCUCGGGAAACUGGGAGUAAUACCGUAUGUGGUCGAGAGACGAAAGAUUUAUAGCCAAAGGAUUGGCCCGCGUUGGAUUAGGUAGUUGGUGGGGUAAUGGCCUACCAAGCCGACGAUCCACAGCUGGUUUGAGAGGAUGAUCAGCCACACUGGGACUGAGACACGGCCCAGACUCCUGCGGGAGGCAGCAGUGGGGAAUCUUAGACAAUGGGGGAAACCCUGAUCUAGCCAUGCCGCGUGAUCGAUGAAGGCCUUAGGGUUGUAAAGAUCUUUCAGGUGGGAAGAUAAUGACUGUACCACCAGAAGAAGCCCCGGCUAACUCCGUGCCAGCAGCCGCAGUAA